rnacentral:misc_RNA from 1 species
GAUGAAGAACGUAGCAAAAUGCGAUACUUGGUGUGAAUUGCAGAAUCCCGUGAACCAUCGAGUUUUUGAACGCAAGUUGCGCCCGAAGCCUUUUGGCCGAGGGCACGUCUGCCUGGCGUCACGCAUCGCGUCGCCCCCCACAAAUUCUCCGUCAGGGGAGCUUGUGUUUCGGGGGCGGAUACUGGUCUCCCGUGCUCAUGGCGCGGUUGGCCGAAAUAGGAGUCCCUUCGAUGGACGCACGAACUAGUGGUGGUCGUAAAAACCCUUGUCUUUUGUUUCGUGCCGUUAGUCGCGAGGGAAGCUCUUCAAAAACCCCAGCGCGUCGUCUCUUGACGGCGCUUCGACCGCGACCCCAGGUCAGGCGGGACUACCCGCUGAGUUUAAGCAUAUCAAUAAGCGGAGGA